GACGAACCGUGCGAACGUUGUUCGGAAUCACUGGGCUUAAAGGGCGCGUAGGCGGAUGACCAAGUCAGGGGUGAAAUCCCGCAGCUCAACUGCGGAAGUGCCUUUGAUACUGGUCGUCUCGAGGGAGAUAGGGGCAUGCGGAACUUCCGGUGGAGCGGUGAAAUGCGUAGAGAUCCCCAAGAACACCAGUUGCGAAGGCGGCUGACUGGACACAUAUUGACGCUGAGGCUCGAAAGCAUGGGGAGCAAACAGG
rnacentral:rRNA from 1 species